UCCUGGCUUUCUCCUGUGGGAAAUAUUAUCAGCUUGUCUGAACACCCCAUGGGUUCAAAGGCUGCAGCAUCUUUUGGGGGGAGAAAUCCAAGAUGGUAGAUAAGCUAAAGGGCGGAGGAAGUAGGCUUUCUCAUGGAAGGAGAAAGGAAGAAAUCUCUCUUGGGGCAACAAUGUAGCCAUCACAGCUGCUGUAAGAUCUCAGUGCUUGCUGAGUCACACAGAUGAAUCCUCCACGGAUCUGGGUACCCCUAUUCAAUGUGCAAAUGGGUAAUAUCCUAGUUAACGUUAACUUUAACUUGACACAGCCUAGAGUCAAGUCAUGUCUGCAGCAGGGUGGGAGAUGGGACUAUCUUCUUGUUGAUUGAAGUGGGAUGGUCCAGCUCAUCUUGGGCAGCAUCAUUCCUUAGGGAGGCUGUCCUAGGCUGUGUUAAAAGGUAGUGAAGCAUGAGCUCCGGGUGCAUUUGCAAGCAGCAUCCCGUUGGUUUAUGCUACCAGGCUCCUGUCUUGAGUUCUUGCCCUGACUUCCAGCGGGGGAUUGAGAAGGAAAAGCCUACAGUGGAAUAACUUCCUUCCUUCCUUCCCUAAAUUGCCUUUGAUCAGAGUUCUCCAUCACAGCAACAGAAGGAAGCAGAUAUGGCUAUGGCUAAUCUCACGUAUCAUUUCAGCAGCUAUUCCUCUACACAUUCAGUGAUUGCCUUCCCUACAUUAUCAUAACCAACAUUUCCACAUCUCUGAUGAUUUCUUUAUCUUGGACAUUUUUAUUUGCGUACUUAGCACAUCUCUGGUACAGACCCAGAAAAUCCUGCCCCCACUCCCCUAAGACUGCAUCUGGCCCCUGGCAUUCUAUGAAAAGGGCCCCCAGCCACCUAAUGAUGCAACCACAGCCCAUAAUAGCUCCACAUGCUUCAUCAAACUCCAGGAACUCUGUAUCAGCUCAUACCUACAGUGCCAGUGUGCAAGGAAAGGUCAGCCUCAGCUGCAUAGCAGAUUUGAGUGAGACCCUGUCUACAUAAAUAAGUAAAUAAACAAAUUCAUGAGCUCUAGGAAUUGCUUUCCUCUCCACAAUUUUGCAUAAAUUUGGCUCUCUUACUGAUCAUCUUCUGUCUCCCUCUGCCUCCUUUCAAAUGGUAUGAAAAAAAAAUAUAUAUAUAAAGGUAACGUAUGUGUGUGACUAUUUUUACCUGUGUGCUAUGUGUGGCCCUGAUGAAUUUGUAGGUCAGAAGAGGAUGCGGGACUCCCUGGAACUGGAGUGGCAAAUGGUUGUGAGCCACCAUGUGGUGCUGGGACUCAAACCGCAGUCCUCUCCAAAACUAAGCCAUCUUAACUGCUAAGCCGUCUUUCCAGCCCCUUGUGAAAUAUUUUUAUUGGUUAAAAAUAAUUUGAGUGUCAGCACCCUAUCACCUCUGAAAAGCCAACUGUUGCAUUAUUGGCCUGUCCCAUUUUUCUUAUGUCCCUUGGUCCCCUGGAAGCCUUGUUCAGUAGAAUAGUCUUGGCUGCCAAGACUAAGAAGCAAGCUUUUCACUGACUUGCUGAAAGUUUGCUGCACAGAAUUAAAAUCAAACCCAGGGCUUUAAUGGGCAAACAUACUUGCCAUGCAAACCCACUGAACUGAGUCAAUAAACUUAUAGCUUUUUUUUUAAUUGUGUAUUUACAAAAUGAAUGCUCAAUAAAAAUAUCUUU
rnacentral:lncRNA from 1 species